UAUCAACGCUGGCGGCGUGCCUCAGGCAUGCAAGUCGAUCGCGAAAUCUCCCUUCGGGGAGAAAGUAGAGUGGCGCACGGGUAAGUAACACGUAGGUAAUCUACCUUUGGAUGGGGAAUAACACCGAGAAAUCGGUGCUAAUACCGCAUAAUGCAGCGGCACCUAAUGGUGACAGUUGUUAAAGCGGGGGAUCGCAAGACCUCGCGUCUAAAGAGGAGCCUGCGGCGGAUUAGCUAGUUGGUAAGGUAAUGGCUUACCAAGGCAACGAUCCGUAACCGGCCUGAGAGGGCGGUCGGUCACACUGACACUGACAUACGGGUCAGACUCCUACGGGAGGCAGCAGUCGGGAAUUUUGGGCAAUGGGCGAAAGCCUGACCCAGCAACGCCGCGUGAAGGAUGAAAUCCCUCGGGAUGUAAACUUCGCAAGAACGGGAAGAAUAAGCCGGUGCAAAUAUCACCGGCGAUGACGGUACCGUUUGUAAGCUCCGGCUAACUCCGUGCCAGCAGCCGAC
rnacentral:rRNA from 1 species